rnacentral:rRNA from 1 species
UGGGGAAUAUUGGACAAUGGGGGCAACCCUGAUCCAGCCAUGCCGCGUGUGUGAAGAAGGCCUUCGGGUUGUAAAGCACUUUCAGUGAGGAAGAAGGCCUGCGGGUUAAUAGCCGGCAGGAAGGACAUCACUCACAGAAGAAGCACCGGCUAACUCCGUGCCAGCAGCCGCGGUAAUACGGAGGGUGCGAGCGUUAAUCGGAAUUACUGGGCGUAAAGCGCGCGUAGGUGGCUUGAUAAGCCGGUUGUUAAAGCCCCGGGCUCAACCUGGGAACGGCAUCCGGAACUGUCAGGCUAGAGUGCAGGAGAGGAAGGUAGAAUUCCCGGUGUAUCGGUGAAAUGCGUAGAGAUCGGGAGGAAUACCAGUGGCGAAGGCGGCCUUCUGGACUGACACUGACACUGAGGUGCGAAAGCGUGGGUAGCAAACAGGAUUAGAUACCCCCGUAGUCCCUGAGCGGGCUGGCAAGGCGCAU